rnacentral:rRNA from 1 species
UACCAGCUCCUCGAGUGGUCGGGACGAUUAUUGGGCCUAAAGCACCCGUAGCCGGUUCCGUAAGUCCUCUGUUAAAUCCAGCUGCUCAACGGCUGGCCUGCAGAGGAUACUGCGGGACUAGGAGGCGGGAGAGGCGGACGGUACUCCGCGUGUAGGGGUAAAAUCCUUUGAUCCGCGGAAGACCACCAGUGGCGAAGGCGGUCUGCCAGAACGCGCUCGACGGUGAGGGGUGAAAGCUGGGGGAGCGAACCGG